rnacentral:rRNA from 2 species
GGGGGGCAAGGGCGUGUAUGUAUAGGAUCUACCUAGUAGUACGGAAUAAUUGUUGGAAACGGCAACUAAUACCGUAUACGCCCUACGGGGGAAAAAUUUAUUGCUAUUAGAUGAGCCUAUAUUAGAUUAGCUAGUUGGUGGAGUAAUAGCCUACCAAGGCAAUGAUCUAUAGCUGAUCUGAGAGGAUGAUCAGCCACACUGGAACUGAGAUACGGUCCAGACUCCUACGGGAGGCAGCAGUGGGGAAUAUUGGACAAUGGGCGAAAGCCUGAUCCAGCCAUGCCGCAUGAGUGAAGAAGGCCUUUGGGUUGUAAAGCUCUUUUAGUGAGGAAGAUAAUGACGGUACUCACAGAAGAAGUCCUGGCUAACUCCGUGCCAGCAGCCGCGGUAAUACGGAGAGGGCUAGCGUUAUUCGGAAUUAUUGGGCGUAAAGGGCGCGUAGGCGGAUUAGUAAGUUAAAAGUGAAAUCCCAAGGCUCAACCUUGGAAUUGCUUUUAAAACUGCUAAUCUAGAGAUUGAAAGAGGAUAGAGGAAUUCCUAGUGUAGAGGUGAAAUUCGUAAAUAUUAGGAGGAACACCAGUGGCGAAGGCGUCUAUCUGGUUCAAAUCUGACGCUGAGGCGCGAAGGCGUGGGGAGCAAACAGGAUUAGAUACCCUGGUAGUCCACGCUGUAAACGAUGAAUGUUAAAUAUGGGAAGUUUUACUUUCGGUAUUACAGCUAACGCGUUAAACAUUCCGCCUGGGGAACUACGGUCGCAGGAUUAAACUCAAAGGAUUGACGGGGACCCGCACAAGCGGCGCAGCAUGUGUUUAAUUCGAUGCACCGCGAAAACCUUACCACUCCUUGACAUGAAAUCAUACCUUAUUCA